rnacentral:rRNA from 1 species
GCGAGUGAACCGGGAAGAGCUCAAAUUUGAAAUCUGGCGUCCUUCGGGCGUCCGAGUUGUAAUCUAUAGAGGCGUUUUCCGUGCCGGACCGUGUCCAAGUCCCUUGGAACAGGGUAUCAAAGAGGGUGACAAUCCCGUACUUGACACGACCACCGGUGCUCUGUGAUACGUCUUCUACGAGUCGAGUUGUUUGGGAAUGCAGCUCAAAACGGGUGGUAAACUCCAUCUAAAGCUAAAUAUUGGUGGGAGACCGAUAGCGAACAAGUACCGUGAGGGAAAGAUGAAAAGCACUUUGGAAAGAGAGUUAAACAGUAUGUGAAAUUGUUGAAAGGGAAACGAUUGAAGUCAGUCGUGUCCAUUGGGUUCAGCCGGUUCUGCCGGUCUACUCCCUUUGGACGGGUCAACAUCAGUUCUGAUCGGCGGAUAAGGGCGGGAGGAAAGUGGCACCCCUCGGGGUGUGUUAUAGCCUCCUGUCGCAUACGCUGGUCGGGACUGAGGAACGCAGCUCGCCUUUAUGGCCGGGGUUCGCCCACGUAUCGAGCUUAGGAUGUUGACAUAAUG